UACGAAGGGGGCUAGCGUUGCUCGGAAUGACUGGGCGUAAAGGGCGCGUAGGCGGUUCACGCAGUCAGAUGUGAAAUUCCUGGGCUCAACCUGGGGGCUGCAUUUGAUACACGUGGACUGGAGUGGGGAAGAGGGUCGUGGAAUUCCCAGUGUAGAGGUGAAAUUCGUAGAUAUUGGGAAGAACACCGGUGGCGAAGGCGGCGACCUGGUCCUUGACUGACGCUGAGGCGCGAAAGCGUGGGGAGCAAACAG
rnacentral:rRNA from 1 species